rnacentral:tRNA from 2 species
GCCCCUGUAGCUCAGUAGGCCAGAGCGGCUCACUCGUAAUGAGCAGGUCGCCGGUUCGAUUCCGGUCCGGGGCUCCA